rnacentral:rRNA from 1 species
GAUGAACGCUGGCGGCGUGCCUAAUACAUGCAAGUCGAGCGAACAGAUAAGGAGCUUGCUCCUUUGACGUUAGCGGCGGACGGGUGAGUAACACGUGGAUAACCUACCUAUAAGACUGGGAUAACUUCGGGAAACCGGAGCUAAUACCGGAUAACAUAUUGAACCGCAUGGUUCAAUAGUGAAAGGCGGCUUUGCUGUCACUUAUAGAUGGAUCCGCGCCGUAUUAGCUAGUUGGUAAGGUAACGGCUUACCAAGGCAACGAUACGUAGCCGACCUGAGAGGGUGAUCGGCCACACUGGAACUGAGACACGGUCCAGACUCCUACGGGAGGCAGCAGUAGGGAAUCUUCCGCAAUGGGCGAAAGCCUGACUGAGCGACGCCGCGUGAGUGAUGAAGGUCUUCGGAUCGUAAAACUCUGUUAUCAGGGAAGAACAAAUGUGUAAGUAACUGUGCACAUCUUGACGGUA